ACCGCAUACGACCUACGGGUGAAAGCAGGGGAUCUUCGGACCUUGCGCGAUUGAAUGAGCCGAUGUCGGAUUAGCUAGUUGGCGGGGUAAAGGCCCACCAAGGCGACGAUCCGUAGCUGGUCUGAGAGGAUGAUCAGCCACACUGGAACUGAGACACGGUCCAGACUCCUACGGGAGGCAGCAGUGGGGAAUAUUGGACAAUGGGCGCAAGCCUGAUCCAGCCAUACCGCGUGGGUGAAGAAGGCCUUC
rnacentral:rRNA from 1 species